AAGGGCACCACAAGAACGCGUGGAGCAUGUGGCUUAAUUUGACUCAACGCGGGAAAUCUUACCGGGUCCGGACACACUGAGGAUUGACAGGCAAUAUCAUAAUUUAUAGUUUAUUUACUUCGGUACUUAUUCUAAUAUUAUGUGUUAAAUAUGCUAGUCCUUUCAUGAUUAUGUGAUAGGUGGUGCAUGGCCGUUCUUAGUUCGUGGAGUGAUCUGUCUGCUUAAUUGCGUUUCACUAAGGGUCCAUAAAUUUAUGUAUGUUGCGACGCAUUGACCCCUCAUUUAAUUAUGAGCGCUGCGUCUUUGUCGUUUAGCUCAUGCGAUUGGMUCCUGAAAGCAACGAACGUGACCGCAACCUCUUGUUGCCUUUAUACCAAACACUUUUAUAUGCUGCGUACAGUUAAUCCUGUAUGUAUUGUACUGUAAUUGUGCAAAAAGGCUUUUUAAACUAGAGGGACCGCUGUUACUUUCUUAAACCAGAGGAAGGUUGCGGCAAUAACAGGUCUGUGAUGCCCUUAGAUGUUCCGGGCUGCACACGUGCUACAAUGAUUAUUGCAGUGAGCAUCUCAUAUUCAUACAUCGCAUGCGCGAGUCCAUUUAUUCUGUGCUUUCGGGCACUGUUUUAAAUGUGUAUCUCUGCGCGCGAUAAAGCCUACUUCGAAAGUAAGCGGGUAAUCAAUUAGAAGUAAUGAUUUCCUUAAUUUAUAGCACACAUAUAUACGGCAGCUUUACCCAGCCAGCCUUGUUGCUGGAUCUUGUGUGUAUUGCUGUUUUUUCCGUAUGUGCAAUUGUCAAUUCAUGGUGGGGACAGACCAUUGUUAAUUGUUGGUCUCGGUCUUAACUAGGAAUGCCUUGUACGGGUCUUUGGUUCAACAAACCACCCGGAAUACGUCCCUGCCCUUUGUACACACCGCCCGUCGCUCUUACCCGAUGGACUUCUCUGUGAGUUUCAGGGACUGGAGUUAUUUUCAACCCUAUGGAAACUGAAACGNACAUGUGGUCUAAAGGAAAGAGAAGUCGUAACAAGGCAUCAGUAGGUGAACCU
rnacentral:rRNA from 1 species